rnacentral:tRNA from 1 species
GGAAAACCUUAGCCUUC